rnacentral:rRNA from 1 species
AGAGUUUGAUCCUGGCUCAGGACGAACGCUGGCGGCGUGCUUAACACAUGCAAGUCGAACGGAAAGGCCCUUCGGGGUACUCGAGUGGCGAACGGGUGAGUAACACGUGGGUGAUCUGCCCUGCACUUUGGGAUAAGCCUGGGAAACUGGGUCUAAUACCGAAUAUGACCAUGCGCCUCCUGGUGUGUGGUGGAAAGCUUUUGCGGUGUGGGAUGGGCCCGCGGCCUAUCAGCUUGUUGGUAGGGUAAUGGCCUACCAAGGCGACGACGGGUAGCCGGCCUGAGAGGGUGACCGGCCACACUGGGACUGAGAUACGGCCCAGACUCCUACGGGAGGCAGCAGUGGGGAAUAUUGCACAAUGGGCGCAAGCCUGAUGCAGCGACGCCGCGUGAGGGAUGACGGCCUUCGGGUUGUAAACCUCUUUCAGCACAGACGAAGCGCAAGUGACGGUAUGUGCAGAAGAAGGACCGGCCAACUACGUGCCAGCAGCCGCGGUAAUACGUAGGGUCCGAGCGUUGUCCGGAAUUACUGGGCGUAAAGAGCUCGUAGGUGGUUUGUCGCGUUGUUCGUGAAAACUCACAGCUUAACUGUGGGCGUGCGGGCGAUACGGGCAGACUUGAGUACUGCAGGGGAGACUGGAAUUCCUGGUGUAGCGGUGGAAUGCGCAGAUAUCAGGAGGAACACCGGUGGCGAAGGCGGGUCUCUGGGCAGUAACUGACGCUGAGGAGCGAAAGCGUGGGGAGCGAACAGGAUUAGAUACCCUGGUAGUCC